rnacentral:lncRNA from 1 species
GCUUCAGUCACUAAAUGAUAAGUUGCUUCCGCUGGCCCAACGUUAGUUACAGUGCGUUGAAGAAUGACAUGGUCCAUGAGGUCUGGCACAGUGAUCGACGGGAGGUUGAGGUUCAGGUUGUACGACUUGCAACCAUCUGAUAAUUCAAGUGUGCAGUUGAAGAGCUUGUUGUACUCCCUUGCAUCCAGGUCGUAAACAAGGCCAGGGUCAACAGCUCUCUCCGGGUCCAUGUGGCCACCACCAAAGUCAAAUGGGUCGGCUAGUUUCCUCGGUACUCCGUUUGCUUGGAUGGGCAUACCAAACCGAUCGGUUACGUAUGCUGCAACCAAUGCCAAAG